UACGUAGGGGGCUAGCGUUGUCCGGAUUUAUUGGGCGUAAAGAGCGUGUAGGCGGCCAUGUAGGUCCGGUGUGAAAACUCGAGGCUCAACCUCGAGAUGUCAUCGGAAACCAUUUGGCUAGAGUCCGGAAGAGGAGAGUGGAAUUCCUGGUGUAGCGGUGAAAUGCGCAGAUAUCAGGAAGAACACCAAUGGCGAAAGCAGCUCUCUGGGACGGUACUGACGCUGAGACGCGAAAGCGUGGGGAGCGAACAGG
rnacentral:rRNA from 1 species